CCUCGGCCGCGCCGCCCUGCAGCCGCCCGGGCCGGCCCGGGACAGGCCCUGGCGGCUCCCGCGUCCCCGCACCGGGCCCAUGGUCCCUGCUCCUGCCUGGAUAGCAUCCAAGCGCCGCGCCGGAGCGCCUCGGGCGGGACUCGGAGAUGCUGCGUUAACUGUGCUCUUCCCUGCGGGGAAUGGGAACAGCGGGGCCAAGCGGACAGGUGCCUGUUUGGGUAAAGAUUUUUGUUCAGAAACGCGAACGUGGCUAUGCAUACACACUAAUUUCUUUAGUGAAGCCAAAGGAAUUACCUCCACACUCACACUAAUGAGUAAAAUCUCCGAUCGCGUAGUCUUGUUAAAAUUAGAAGUCCAAGAUAGAUGACAAAACUACUUUAACUUUCCCAAGCUUUAAAAUCCUGUUUAAAUACACUCAUUGGUUUGUCAAGGACAUGAUCAGAAAAGAUUUUUAGGUUCUAACAUGCCCAUGGUAUAGGCUUUGUAUUCCACAAGGAAAAAGACAUAAGUAUCUCUGUUGGAGACAUCACAAACAUCCACCCAUUGCAGAGCUAUGCCAAAAUACUCAGGAGAUGGGGAACACCAGGUAGAAUGGACUCAGGCUCACCAGUUUGGACACAAUCUGUUACCUCUGCAAAGGCAUCCUAGAAGGUUGUAGUAGCCCAUCAUGCCUCACAAUGCUGCUGGCAGGAAAUCUUUCUCUGAGACUUCUGCAAAGCUGCCUCCACACACACAGUGCCAAAUCUUUUAGCACAGCAAGGGCUAGAACACAGUCCCAUUCACACAACCAGAGAGGCCCUUCUGCCUUAAAUAUGCAACAUACCAGCAAUAAAAAAAGAAGAACAGGCACUGCCAAUCUCUUUUUCCGUGACUAUUAGGAGCCAAAAAAAAAAAAAAA